rnacentral:rRNA from 1 species
GACGUAGGGCGCGAGCGUUGUCCGGGUUUAUUGGGCGUAAAGCGCGUGUAGGCGGCUUGGCAAGUCCGCUGUGAAAACUCGAGGCUCAACCUCGAGAUGUCGGUGGAAACUGCCUGGCUAGAGUCCGGAAGAGGAGUGUGGAAUUCCUGGUGUAGCGGUGAAAUGCGCAGAUAUCAGGAAGAACACCUAUGGCGAAGGCAGCACUCUGGGACGGUACUGACGCUGAGACGCGAAAGCGUGGGGAGCGAACAGG